rnacentral:rRNA from 1 species
AAACUUUCAACAACGGAUCUCUUGGUUCUGGCAUCGAGAAGAACGCAGCGAAAUGCGAUAAGUAAUGUGAAUUGCAGAAUUCAGUGAAUCAUCGAAUCUUGAACGCACAUUGCGCCCGCCAGUAUUCUGGCGGGCAUGCCUGUCCGAGCGUCAUUU